AUGUCGACCGACGUGGCCGCCGAUGUCCCGGCCCCUGAGGUGGAGGUGGCCGCCGACCCCGUCGUGGAGACCACGGCCGAGGCCGCCGCCGGCGACGCGAAGCCGGCCAAGGAGACCAAGGCCAAGGCGGCCAAGGCCAAGAAGCCCUCCGCCCCGAGGAAGCCCCGCGCCACCCCCGCCCACCCGACCUACGCCGAGAUGGUGUCGGAGGCCAUCACCGCCCUGAAGGAGCGGACGGGGUCGAGCCAGUACGCCAUCGCCAAGUUCGUCGAGGACAAGCACAAGGCGCACCUCCCGGCCAACUUCCGCAAGAUUCUGUCGGUGCAGCUCAAGAAGCUGGUCGCCUCCGGCAAGCUGACCAAGGUCAAGGCCUCGUACAAGCUGUCGGCCGCCGCGGCCAAGCCCAAGCCGGCGGCGAAGAAGAAGCCCGCGGCGAAGAAGAAGGCGCCAGCCAAGAAGACCGCCACCAAGACCAAGGCCAAGGCGCCCGCCAAGAAGGCCGCCGCGAAGCCCAAGGCCAAGGCGCCCGCCAAGCCCAAGGCCGCCGCGAAGCCCAAGGCCGCCGCGAAGCCCAAGGCCAAGGCCGCCGCGAAGCCCAAGGCUGCCGCCAAGCCCAAGGGCCGCCCCGCCAAGGCUGCCAAGACCUCGGCCAAGGACGCGCCAGGGAAGAAGGCCCCUGCCGCCGCGGCGCCCAAGAAGGCCGCCGCCAGGAAGCCGCCCACCAAGAGAUCCACGCCGGUGAAGAAGGCCGCGCCCGCCAAGAAGGCUGCGCCGGCGAAGAAGGCCCCGGCCGCCAAGAAGGCCAAGAAGUAG
rnacentral:rRNA from 1 species